rnacentral:lncRNA from 1 species
CUUUGGCCCCGAGGGCACGGCCUGCCCUGCUUUCUAUCAUUCUAGGGGCUGCUGGGAAUGAAGACUUCUCCUUCCGGGAGCCUGCUGUCUGCGGACCUCACAGAACUCAGCUGAGUCCUACCUGCUUCCUUUUCUUGGCACUGAAGAUGAAAGACACUGAAGAUGGAAGAUUGAGCAAGACAGGAGGACCCAGCUCUCUAUACCAUGGAGGAAAACAGGUCACUUGGGAAACAGAAAGAAUGGUUGGAAGCAUCAUGGCGCAGGCACACCAUGGCUUCCUGUGCCACCACUAGGAAGAGGAAGUGCGGGUGCUGCACUGGCUCCUCCCUGGUCCCUGCCUCAGAUGCCAUGUCCUUCGGAUGUGCUUUUCAGAUUGCUGCCAGAGGGAACUCUUCAAAAAUGCAAACCUGACCAUGUCCUUCCUCACUCUCAAACCCUCGCUGGCUCCCCAUUGCCCUUCUCCUGAUGAGUCCUGAUCUCAUCCAGUCCUAGCUCUCUCUCCAGUGUCACCUCCCGAUCUGCUGUGACCCUGACAUGCUGGUUGUAUAACCGGCAGGUCUCACCUCACAGUGGCCUUACCUCACAGUGGCCUUGCACAUCAUCUGCCCCUCGGACACUGCUGUCUCCAAGACUCCAUGUGAGCACUUCCUUCUCCAGGAAACCCUCCCUGACUCCUGCUCCCCUGCCCUUGGGGCCUCCAGCCAGGCCAGUGCAGGCAGCAGGAUGCCUCAGGAGGACCUGGGAAGUGGACCCUGGCCCUGCAGUCCACUCCUGCCCUGGGAAGAGUGAGAAGGGGCUGGAUCCAUCACAGUGCCUGAUCUUGGACCCUGGCUCUCAGGAGACGUCAGCAGGACGGAGGCCACCCUUGGUCCGCUGUGUGACCCUGCUGGUCACCUGGCUUCUCCGGCUCCUCUCCCACGAGAGGGCCAGCACCGCCCAGGGCCCCCCUCCUCAGCCCUGCUGCACCCCGAGGCGGGACUGAGGCACUGCGCCCUGCUGUCCCGGAAGGCGCCCCUCGUGCAGUCACAGACCCCCUUGUCCCCCUGCCUGCUGAUUGCUCCAGCCAGACAACCCCUGGGUCUAGAAUCCCGGAACCCGAGGCACACGUGUAGAGUGAUUGGAGGGACACAUGGCGGACAGAUGAGUGACCCAGAGCUGUCCCCAGAUAUAUCCAGUGCAAGACUGUGAGAACGAGCCCACCGCCCCGGAGCAACCAGGAGCUCAGGUCCCUCAACCUUGCAGCCCAGCCCUGGCCUCGAGGAGCUCGGGCUGGCUCUGGUUUGUGCUUCUGGCCUCCCAACUCUCUGAGAGCCUUCCUUCUCAUUCUUGUGCCCACCCCUGCCCAGCGUGGCUUGAACGUGGAUCUGGGCGCAAGCCACCUCCCAUUUUGUCAGACCCUCCAGGAAGCUGUUCCAACCGUGGGAGGAAAGCUGUAAUAACACUGAGAUUGAAUUUCCCUCCAGCCUGGAGGGACGGGGGAUUCAAGUCAGAUUUAAUUCGAUCUUAGACAAAUAAAGUACUAUGACAUUUAUUG